AGGUGCACAAGGUACCAUGCAAGCAACUAGGCCGGCUGCGAUCAUGCUGCAGGGGCUGAAUAUAUUUGUAUCUCUGUAAGGCAUUUUAAGGCUGCCUUAAGACACGAGGAACUAGGAACUUGCACGACCCAGUACUCAACAUGCAUGUACUUUGAGUGUGAUGAAAAUAACACCCUGUGUUACAAAUAAGAAAGUGGAAGGGGCGUGUCCAUACCUGGCAGCGCCCCAGUUUCCUCUCAGGAGGCCUGCAAUGGCGGGCCCUUCUUUGCUUCUUCCUCCUUCGCCAGGGUGGUUUGGUGUGCGAAAAACUGUUGGACUUGAUAGUUAAUGAGCCUGUUGUUAUCAUGGAAGAAGGUUUUCCUAAUGCCAUACAACAUGGAUAAUCAAUUAAAGAGAUGCGGACAUCAGAGUUGAGGUAGUUUCAAAUGAUGGGGAGAUGGUUAGGUGACGAGUGCCCUCUCCGAUGUGGAUGCUGAAGAAGUUCAG